rnacentral:rRNA from 1 species
AACAAAUAUUAAAGGCAACGCCUGCCCAGUGAAUAAUUAAACGGCCGCGGUACCCUAACCGUGCAAAGGUAGCAUAAUCACUUGUCUAUCAAUUGUAGACCUGUAUGAAAGGCAAAAUGAGGGUCAAGCUGUCUCUUGUAAUAAAUCUAUUAAACUGAUCUCCUGGUAAAAAAGCUAGGAUGAUAACAUAAGACCAGAAGACCCUGUGAAGCUUAAACCAAACUAUUAAACCAAAUAAUAACUACUUUCGGUUGGGGCGACCUUGGAAAUAAAAAGAACUUCCAAAUACCAAUAUUCUAAACAUACAAACAUAUAGGCCAACAAGCCAACAAACGACCCAGCAAAGCUGAUAAAUGAACAAAGUUACUCCAGGGAUAACAGCGCUAUCUUCUUCAAGAGCCCAUAUCAAAAAGAAGGUUUACGACCUCGAUGUUGGAUCAGGACAUCCUAAUGGUGCAACCGCUAUUAAGGGUUCGUUUGUUCAACGAUUAAUGUCCUACGUGAU